rnacentral:sRNA from 1 species
CCUAGUAAGUACAAGUCACUAGCUUGUGCUGAUUACGUCCCUGCCCUUUGUACACACCGCCCGUCGCUACUACCGAUUGAAUGGCUUAGUGAGGCCUUCGGAUUGAGAUUAGGAGACUGGCAACAGACUCCUGGUUUUGAAAAGUUGGACAAACUUGGUCAUUUAGAGGAAGUAAAAGUCGUAACAAGGUUUCCGUAGGUGAACCUGCGGAAGGAUCAUUACCGAUUUUAGCGGACCUGAUCUCUGAUCAUGGCCUCGCGAAAACAUUGUAUUUAAAACCCCACUCUUAUAAAUCGAAUCAUUUUAUAUUGUAAUAUAAAUAAAUAAAGAUCACUUUCAACAACGGAUCUCUUGGCUCUCGCAUCGAUGAAGAACGUAGCGAAGUGCGAUAAGUAAUGUGAAUUGCAGAAUUCCGUGAAUCAUCGAAUCUUUGAACGCAAAUUGCACUCUCUGGUAACCCGGGGAGUAUGCCUGUUUGAGGGUCAGUGUGUUAAUAAAAAUCGGUGCGUUGCAAAUUUUGUGAUGUUCCGGAGUUUGAGUUAUCUUAACUCUUUUGGGUUUUAAGAGGCUUAAAAUUGACCUUAUUUGUGCAUUAUAGACGUACAUAAAUUUUUUUAUUAGUUUAUCUUUAUGCCAAAAUCUAUUAGAUGCGACCAUAUCGUGUGGUUCUGUGUCUAUAAAUUUUUCAUGAUUUGACCUCAAAUCAGGUAGGAACACCCGCUGAACUUAAGCAUAUCAAUAAGCGGAGGAAAAGAAAAUAACAAUGAUUCCCCUAGUAACUGCGAGUGAAGAGGGACAAGCUCAAAUUUUAAAUCUAUCGGGUUUUACCUGAUCGAGUUGUAAUUUGAAGAUGGCGUUUUCUGUGUUUCUGAUCAGUUCAAGUCCUUUGGGAUAAGGCAUCAUGGAGGGUGAGAAUCCCGUUCGGUUGAUCAGAUUCGCUUUACGAUACGUUAUCAAAGAGUCAAGUUGUUUGGGAUUGCAGCUUAAAAUGGGAGGUAAAUUUCUCCUAAGGCUAAAUAACGGCGAGAGACCGAUAGCGAACAAGUACCGUGAGGGAAAGAUGAAAAGAACUUUGAAAAGAGAGUUAAACAGUACGUGAAAUUGUUGAAAGGGAAACGAUUGAAGCCAGUCGUACCUUCGGGUAAUCAGCCUUUCGGGUGCGAUUCUGUGGAGUGUGAGGAGCUUAACACCUUCAUGCUUUGCAUAUUUGUGCUCUUGGGUGUACUUGCCCGUGUGGUUGGUUAACAUCAAUUUUGGUUAUCAUAAAAUGAUUGGAGGAAUGUAGCUUCGAUCUUGUAUUGAAGUGUUAUAGCCUUCGGUAAAUGUGAUGAACGAGAUUGAGGAUUGCAACGGAUACCCUUCGGGGCUACCUGUCUGGUCUCUGAUCGUUGCUCUGGUGCCGAAAGCUUGCUUACGGUCAUCAAAGUCGAUGGUCAAUAGGUUAGAACGGGUUAAAUUCGUUAAGGAUGUUGACGUAAUGGCUUUAAACGACCCGUCUUGAAACACGGACCAAGGAG